rnacentral:rRNA from 1 species
CGUAAAUGUGACCUCACUGGGGUAAGACUACCCGCUAGAC